CCUACGGGAGGCAGCAGUGAGGAAUAUUGGUCAAUGGGCGGGAGCCUGAACCAGCCAAGUCGCGUGAGGGAAGACGGUCCUAUGGAUUGUAAACCUCUUUAGGCGGGGAGCAAUGCCGGGCACGCGUGCCCGGAGUGAGAGUACCCGCAGAAUAAGCAUCGGCUAACUCCGUGCCAGCAGCCGCGGUAAUACGGAGGAUGCGAGCGUUAUCCGGAUUUAUUGGGUUUAAAGGGUGCGUAGGCGGAUUUUUAAGUCAGCGGUAAAAUGUCCGGGCUCAACCCUGGCCGGCCGUUGAUACUGGGGAGCUUGAGUGGGCGAGAAGUAUGCGGAAUGCGUGGUGUAGCGGUGAAAUGCAUAGAUAUCACGCAGAACGCCGAUUGCGAAGGCAGCAUACCGGCGCCCGACUGACGCUGAGGCACGAAAGCGUGGGGAUCGAACAGGAUUAGAUACCCUUGUAGUC
rnacentral:rRNA from 1 species